AGGACGAACGCUGGCGGCGUGCUUAAUACAUGCAAGUCGAGCGAGAACCAGGGCUUCGGCUCUGGGGACAGCGGCGAACGGGUGAGUAACACGUGGGUAAUCAACCCCCGACACCGGGAUAGCCCAGGGAAACUUGGAUUAAUACCGGAUGCUCCGUCUGGCCUUCGGGCCGGCCGGAAAAGGGUAGCUUCGGCCUCCGGUCGGGGACGAGCCCGCGGCGGAUUAGCUUGUUGGUGAGGUAAAGGCUCACCAAGGCGACGAUCCGUAGCUGGUCUGAGAGGACGAUCAGCCACACUGGGACUGAGACACGGCCCAGACUCCUACGGGAGGCAGCAGUAGGGAAUCUUGCGCAAUGGGCGAAAGCCUGACGCAGCGACGCCGCGUGAGGGAAGAAGGCCUUCGGGUUGUAAACCUCUUUCAGGAGGGACGAAGCCACUCGGGUUAAUAGCCAGAGGGUGACGGUACCUCCAGAAGAGCCCCGGCUAACGUACGUGCCAGCAGCCGCGGU
rnacentral:rRNA from 1 species